rnacentral:tRNA from 1 species
GCCGACGUAGCUCAGUUGGUAGAGCAGUCGAUUCGUAAUCGACAGGUCACCAGUUCAACUCUGGUCGUCGGCUCCA